rnacentral:rRNA from 1 species
GACAGAGGGUGCAAACGUUGUUCGGAAUUAUUGGGCGUAAAGGGUGCGUAGGCGGUUUGGUAAGUCUUAUGUGAAAUCUAUGGGCUCAACUCAUAGUCUGCAUGAGAAACUGCCGGGCUUGAGUAUGGGAGAGGUGAGUGGAAUUCCUGGUGUAGCGGUGAAAUGCGUAGAUAUCAGGAGGAACACCUGUGGCGAAAGCGGCUCACUGGACCAUAACUGACGCUGAUGCACGAAAGCUAGGGGAGCAAACAGG